rnacentral:rRNA from 1 species
AUUGAACGCUAGCGGGAUGCCUUAUACAUGCAAGUCGAACGGUGUGGCCGACGGGCGAGUGAUGUAUCGGUACGUGCCCAGUAGCGGGGGCUAGCUACACGACAGCGUAGCUAAUACCGCAUACCUUUGGAGCGGCCGAUAUGGGAUUAGCGAGUUGGUGAGGUAACGACUUACCAAGGCGACGAUCCGUAGCUGGUUUGAGAGGACGACCAGCCACACUGUGACUGAGACACGGCCCAGACUCCGACGGGAGGCAGAAGUGGGGAAUUGUGGACAAUGGGGGAAACCCUGAUGGAGCCAGCCCGCGUGUGUGAUGAAGGCCUUCGGGUUGUAAAGCACUUUGGGCAGGGAAGCGGUACCUGCAGAAUAAGCACCGGCUAACUACGUGCCAGCAGCCGCGGUAAUUC